rnacentral:lncRNA from 1 species
GCCCAGGUGGGCAUGGAGGGUGCUCUGAUAUUUGGUGUUGGGCCACAAAUAUACCCAUGCAGUUGACAGAUUUGAGAAGGCUCUAAUUUAUCAACUCUUCAGCAUGGGGACUUCUCUGGGAGAUUUAUGAAGGGUAAGAAUCUAGCAGGCCUUUGCAGCGUGGGCUAUCCAGCAAUACUACAUUUUAACUUCUGUGGCCACAAAAUGUAAGUGAAGUUGAAACAGCAGAAAAUUUCAUCUUUUCUACUUG